UGCCAGACUCCUACGGGAGGCAGCAGUGGGGAAUAUUGCACAAUGGGGGAAACCCUGAUGCAGCGACGCCGCGUGAGCGAUGAAGAAUUUCGGUAUGUAAAGCUCUCUCAGCAGGGAAGAAGAUGACGGUACCUGACUAAGAAGCCCCGGCUAACUACGUGCCAGCAGCCGCGGUAAUACGUAGGGGGCAAGCGUUAUCCGGAUUUACUGGGUGUAAAGGGGGCGCAGACGGCGAUGCAAGCCAGGAGUGAAAGCCCGGGGCCCAACCCCGGGACUGCUCUUGGAACUGCGUGGCUGGAGUGCAGGAGGGGCAGGCGGAAUUCCUGGUGUAGCGGUGAAAUGCGUAGAUAUCAGGAGGAACACCGGUGGCGAAGGCGGCCUGCUGGACUGCAACUGACGUUGAGGCCCGAAAGCGUGGGGAGCAAACAGGAUUAGAUACCCUCGUAA
rnacentral:rRNA from 1 species